GACGAACGCUGGCGGCGUGCUUAACACAUGCAAGUCGAACGCUGAAGCACCAGCUUGCUGGUGUGGAUGAGUGGCGAACGGGUGAGUAAUACGUGAGUAACCUGCCCUUGACUCUGGGAUAAGCCCGGGAAACUGGGUCUAAUACUGGAUGCUACAUGUCACCGCAGGGUGGUGUGUGGAAAGGGUUUACUGGUCUUGGAUGGGCUCACGGCCUAUCAGCUUGUUGGUGAGGUAAUGGCUCCCCAAGGCGACGACGGGUAGCCGGCCUGAGAGGGUGACCGGCCACACUGGGACUGAGACACGGCCCGGACUCCUACGGGAGGCAGCAGUGGGGAAUAUUGCACAAUGGGCGAAAGCCUGAUGCAGCGACGCCGCGUGAGGGAUGACGGCCUUCGGGUUGUAAACCUCUUUCAGCAGGGAAGAAGCCACAAGUGACGGUACCUGCAGAAGAAGCGCCGGCUAACUACGUGCCAGCAGCCGCGGUAA
rnacentral:rRNA from 1 species